GAUGAAGGCCUGCGGGUCGUAAAACUCUGUCCUCAAGGAAGAUAAUGACGGUACUUGAGGAGGAAGCCCCGGCUAACUACGUGCCAGCAGCCGCGGUAAUACGUAGGGGGCUAGCGUUAUCCGGAUUUACUGGGCGUAAAGGGUGCGGAGGCGGUCUUUCAAGUCAGGAGUGAAAGGCUACGGCUCAACCGUAGUAAGCUCUUGAAACUGGGAGACUGGAGUGCAGGAGAGGAGAGUGGAAUUCCUAGUGUAGCGGUGAAAUGCGUAGAUAUUAGGAGGAACACCAGUUGCGAAGGCGGCUCUCUGGACUGUAACUGACGCUGAGGCACGAAAGCGUGGGGAGCAAACAGGAUUAGAUACCCUGGUAGUCCACGCUGUAAACGAUGAGUACUAGGUGUCGGGGGUUACCCCC
rnacentral:rRNA from 1 species